ensembl:lncRNA RPAP3-DT RPAP3 divergent transcript
CCCUUUAGCCUGGGCUUGAGCGCGCGCAGAAGUCAGCUUCGUGACUUCCUUCUCAGGAUGGAACCAGCUUGGUGGCUUGAGGGAAAGGGGUUCUGAGUUGCAAAUCAGAAACUUGAAGAUGAAAUGGCUACUACGCUGGGUAUUGCCUUUAUCUUGAAUGCCAGCCUGAUGGUCCAAGGUGAACAAGCCUUCCUGUGUUUUCUGAAUGUUCCCCCGCACUUUGCCUGCCACCAUGUAAGAUGUGUCUUUGCGCCUCCUUUGCCUUCCACCAUGAUUGUGCGGCCUCCCCAGCCAUGUGGAACGGUGAGUCUAUUAAACCUCUUUUUCUUUACAAAUUACCCAGUCUCGGGUAUUUCUUCAUAGCAGUAUGAAAAUGGACUAAUACAUAUGGUGUUUUUGUAUAAAUUGAAAAAAAGCUUCCAUACGAGUGGAAGCAGCUCUGUGGGUGCUUGACUGGCUACCACCUUUGGGCAAAUUCAGAAAACACACUUGUUUCUCUCAGCAGACACAACUCUUCACCAGUGCACAAAACCUGAUGAGAAGGAUACAGACUGGAUUUUGGUCCAGCUUGCUGCUUAACUAGGUUCCCUUGCACAACGCACAACCUGUGCAAUGAUUAUGCAGUGAAAUUGAUGGCCAUUACCUAACGUGGCUUCAGUGACCAUGUUUUCAAAACUGGGAGUCAGAGUGCAUGGCUUGACAUCAAGGCUUUGUGUCACAAAGCAGAAGAUCAUUAAUCUGGGAGUUGACAACAUUGGAAGCACCUAAACAAGUUGAUUAUUCAUACAAGAUUUUUUUCAAGUAUUCAUUUAAAACUAUGCAGUUAAAGGUGGUGCAUGUCCUGUUCUAAUUGGUAGGCUGGAAAUGAUGGUAUGGAGAUGUUGCACCACGUGGUCCCUUCACUAGAGGAAGAGUGGUAUGAAUCGUGUCCGUCACUGUGACACCAUGCAGUCUUCCUGGCAGUACACAAGUUGUGAGAGUUUGCUACCAUUUUUACAUUUUUGUGAUUUAAAGUGUUGAAUAACAAUUAAUAAUGUCAUACAUACUAAAAUAUUAUUUUUAUCAUUUUACCCUUUUUUAGAAUUUAGUACUUAAACUUUCAAGAUAUUGUUAAAACUGAUAUUUCAGACAGAAAUUCUAGGUAAAUGACAUCUACUGUAUUUUAAGUUGGGGGCAUCCUAGAAAACCUGAGAAAAGUGGUGGCCAAAUUCCUGACCCUGCCUCUGUCCCUCAGUGCUUUCUGUCCAGACCCUUAGAGCCCCUGUGAGUCCUGAACGCUGCUCUGGCCUGCUGGACACCCAGGCCAGUGGCCCCUUAGACAGGCUGGACAUGCCUUCGUCUCACAAGGAGGCUCACCAGUACACAGAUGUUCAUAGUCUUCACAGCAGUUCCCAUGCCAGAGACACCGGCGGUCACACUGGCAGGCAGCGUCCCGGUUAAAUUUCUCAUUACAUCGAGAUGCACAGGAUUCUAUUUUUCCUAUGGGCAGUAAAGGUCACCAACUCAGCUCUAUGGAGACCCUGUUCUCCCCAGGGUGCCUCCUGCAGGAGGGUUCACAGACCAGGGCAGGAGUGUACCUGGCAGGGAAGGGCAUUACUCUCUGCAAAGGAGAAGUACAUCCACAGCCUCCCAUGCACAACAUAAGCCUCCUCCCCACCACCCAACACCCACCAAAUAUUUCAAGGCUCAUCAAAGAGACCAGGAUCACAAACCCAAAUCCCUAUUUGGGUUAGGCCCAUAACA